rnacentral:rRNA from 1 species
AUUGAACGCUGGCGGAAUGCUUUACACAUGCAAGUCGAACGGUAACAGGGAGCUUGCUCCGCUGGCGAGUGGCGAACGGGUGAGUAACGCAUCGGAACGUGCCCAGUAGUGGGGGGAUAACCAGUCGAAAGACUGGCUAAUACCGCAUACUACCUAAGGGUGAAAGCGGGGGACCGUAAGGCCUCGCGCUAUUGGAGCGGCCGAUGUCUGAUUAGCUAGUUGGUGGGGUAACGGCCUACCAAGCCUACGACGAUUAGCUGGUCUGAGAGGAUGGUCAGCCACAUUGGAACUGAGACACUGUCCAGACUCCUACGGGAGGCUGCAGUCGAGAAUCUUGGUCAAUGCACGAAAGUGUGAACCAGCGACGCCGCGUGAAGGAUGAAGGCCCUCUGGGUCGUAAACUUCUUUUGUGAGAGAAGAACGAGGCGCAAGCCUCUUGACGGUAUCUCACGAAUAAGCCACGGCUAACUACGUGCCA